CAUGCCCGCAGGAUUCCUAGGUAGGUGCGGUAUUUUUCGCGGGCGCUGGUGGUCGGUUUGUGCUGCUGCAGGGAUCAGCUGGGUGGGUGUAGCCCUCGUACUCUGACGGUUUAUUGAGGGUAAAGAACCUUCUUGGCUGUAUUCAUGCUGAGAUCAUUCAGAAAUUGUUUAGCUCAGCCAGCCUCUUUUCUGUCCGCUUUCCUUACGCAGUACCUUGGAAUCUCAGUUAAAAAUUCAUGCUGUCCAAGCACCUUCCUCUCUUAGGUCAAUGGAAUGUGACCUUUAGAAGUUCUUUGCUCUUCACAGACGCCAGCUCAAGCCAGAGGAUAUCUACAAAGAGCAGAGGAGCUAAGAAGAAAAUUCAGUAUGGACAUUUCCUACCUACUUAAUACCAAUAUGAACAAAAAGGGCCUUACAACAUUCUCAUAUACAUACAUACAUAAAUACACACACAUUUAUGCUUUAUGACACCUCCCUCCUUCCAAAUCUGUACCAGUGAACUUGCCUUUAUAUUGUGAUGAGGGUUAACCAUAGAGGUAAGUUUGAAAUAAGGACACAGAGCAUCUUUGGCCCAGAAAUUAUCACACCGUUUAACGAUCCUUAUGGAAACAUGCUUAUCUCACCCUUCUCCGUGAGAUACCUUUUACCAUAAUGUGGUUCUCUUGUGGAGUCAGAACUGGGGAGGAAAUUCAUCUUCAGCAGUCAAGGUUGCACAAACUUGCAACUAUGAAACAGCUAUGAUGUUCAACCUCUAACUGGCCCAAGGACCCUGGGAAACAAUCCUGAGCUACCUAGAGAUGUUAGAUUGGUGCUGUUUCAAAAGGAUACAGAAACAAAGUUUAUACAUUAUGUUAAUUUUUAAUGGUGGGGGGAGAUAGGGUGACAGGUGAUAGAGAAAUUAUAAGAAAUGAGAGAAGCUACUCCGAGACCAAUAGCCUUGAGGAAUAGUUUGUGAAACUGAGAACUUCCCCAAGGGUUCUGUUACUGCUUUAUAGAAACAAGCCUGUUAAUAGACAGGCCCCAGGGCAACUGCAGUAUAGUAAAGAAGGACUCCGGUUGACCGCUCCUGUAUCUGGGGGAAGCCAUUGCUAUCCUUGAGAAAGAAAAGAUGGAGGUGGCGAGUGCCUAUCAGCCUGUCAGUGACAUCACAUUCUGUGAAGUCUUGUCUUUCACUUGUGACACAGUGGGUCUUCCAUCUGUCCUAAACCUGGCAGCCUUGUUAAGGAUCAGAAAACAUCUUCUCCUAUAUGACAGUAGGAUAGGAAUUAUUAGCAGGAUAGAAUCCAUUCCUGCCAGAGGAAAAACAAGAAAUCAGUUUUUACUACCUUAUUACUUUCAAUAGACUGUCAGAUUCUAUAUUCUCUAUUUUGUACAUGGCGCAUUGAUUAACAAUCCUUGGUUAAAAUACUUUAGUUUCACAUAGUGUGUAUAUGUUUACAUUUACAACUGUAUCAAGUCUUUUUGUCCUAUUAAAAAACAAUAUAUUCUACU
ensembl:antisense A230107N01Rik RIKEN cDNA A230107N01 gene